rnacentral:lncRNA from 1 species
GAGCUUGUUCGGUUUGAGCUUGCUGGACCUACUCAUGCACAAACAUAGAAAAUUGAGGUGUGGUUGGGCACUCACUAACAAAAUGGGUCGGGCUUGCAUACAAUGUACAAACAUCUUGGACUGGGUUAGGUGGAAUCAGAGAGUGUCCAAUAUUUAGAAGACAGUCUAAUUUUUGGGACAACUCAUCUACCUUACUGUGGAUAUUCAUAACAUUUUCAAUCUGAUAGAUUCCACCUCUUUUCUAUUGAGAUAUAGGUUGUUCUCUAAAAGUGGCAGACAUGUGAUGCAGGG